rnacentral:rRNA from 1 species
AUUGAACGCUGGCGGCAGGCCUAACACAUGCAAGUCGAACGAGUGGCGGACGGGUGAGUAAUGUCUGGGAAUCUACCUGAUGGAGGGGGAUAACUACUGGAAACUGUAGCUAAUACCGCGUACCAUAGGAUGAGCCCAAGUGGGAUUAGCUAGUAGGUGGGGUAAAGGCUCACCUAGCCGACGAUCACUAGCUGGUCUGAGAGGAUGACCAGCAACACUGGGACUGAGACACGGCCCAGACUCCUACGGGAGGCAGCAGUGGGGAAUAUGGCACAAUGGGCGCAACCCUGAUGCAGCCAUGCCGCGUGAAUGAAGAAGGCCUGAGGGUUGUAAAGUACUUUCAGUGGGGAGGCGUUAACCGCAGAAGAAGCACCGGCUAACUCCGUGCCAGCAGCCGCGGUAAUAC